rnacentral:rRNA from 1 species
AGCGAACGCUGGCGGCAGGCCUAACACAUGCAAGUCGAACGAACCUUUCGGGGUUAGUGGCGGACGGGUGAGUAACACGUGGGAACGUGCCUUUAGGUUCGGAAUAACUCAGGGAAACUUGUGCUAAUACCGAAUGUGCCCUUCGGGGGAAAGAUUUAUCGCCUUUAGAGCGGCCCGCGUCUGAUUAGCUAGUUGGUUGAGGUAAUGGCUCACCAAGGCGACGAUCAGUAGCUGGUCUGAGAGGAUGAUCAGCCACAUUGGGACUGAGACACGGCCCAAACUCCUACGGGAGGCAGCGGUGGGGAAUCGUGCGGAAUGGGCGAAAGCCUGACGCAGCCAUGCCGCGUGAAUGAUGAAGGUCUUAGGAUUGUAAAAUGCUUUCACCGGGGACGAGAAUGACGGGACCCGGAGAAGAAGCCCCGGCUAACUUCGUG